UACAGAGGUCUCAAGCGUUGUUCGGAUUCAUUGGGCGUAAAGGGUGCGUAGGCGGCGCGGUAAGCCGGGUGUGGAAUCUCGGAGCUUAACUCCGAAACUGCAUUCGAUACUGCCGUGCUUGAGGACUGGAGAGGAGACUGGAAUUUACGGUGUAGCGGUGAAAUGCGUAGAUAUCGUAAGGAAGACCAGUGGCGAAGGCGGGUCUCUGGACAGUUCCUGACGCUGAGGCACGAAGGUCAGGGGAGCAAACGGG
rnacentral:rRNA from 1 species